rnacentral:rRNA from 1 species
AGUGAACGCUGGCGGUAGGCCUAACACAUGCAAGUCGAACGGCAGCACAGUAAGAGCUUGCUCUUACGGGUGGCGAGUGGCGGGCGGGUGAGGAAUACAUCGGAAUCUACUUUUUCGUGGGGGAUAACGUAGGGACACUUACGCUAAUACCGCAUACGACCUACGGGUGAAAGCAUGGGAUCUUCGGACCUUGCGCGAUUGAAUGAGCCGAUGUCGGAUUAGCUAGUUGGCGGGGUAAAGGCCCACCAAGGCGACGAUCCGUAGCUGGUCUGAGAGGAUGAUCAGCCACACUGGAACUGAGACACGGUCCAGACUCCUACGGGAGGCAGCAGUGGGGAAUAUUGGACAAUGGGCGCAAGCCUGAUCCAGCCAUGCCGCGUGUGUGAAGAAGGUCUUCGGGUUGUAAAGCCCUUUUGUUUGGAAAGAAAAGCAGCAGGUUAAUACCCCGCUGUUCUGACGUUACCCAAAGAAUAAGCACCGGCUAACUUCGUG